ACAUACUCCUACUCUAAAAAUCCUAAAAACCCCAGAAAAAUUUAUCCACGAAUCCAACCGAAAAACACAUCCUUCAUGAAGAAAACCAGAAAAAAAACCUAGGCACUAUCCCAUCCACAGCGACGCACUAUGAAAAAAUGCAUGAUGAACAACGAUUUGAGCUCAACGUGUACGUCAUAGAUCUCUCCUUGCACACGUUGGCAAUCUGGAACUCAUCAAAUCAACCAAUCACA
rnacentral:misc_RNA from 1 species